UACGAAGGGGGCUAGCGUUGCUCGGAAUUACUGGGCGUAAAGCGCACGUAGGCGGCGAUUCAAGUUAGAUGUGAAAGGCCUGGGCUCAACCCGGGGAACUGCAUUUGAUACUGAAUUGCUAGAGUCCAAGAGAGGGUAGUGGAAUUCCCAGUGUAGAGGUGAAAUUCGUAGAUAUUGGGAAGAACACCAGUGGCGAAGGCGGCUACCUGGCUUGGUACUGACGCUGAGGUGCGAAACGU
rnacentral:rRNA from 1 species